GACCUCUGUGGUGUGAACGGUUGCGCGCACUCCCGGUAUGAGUGGAACGCGGGUUCAAUUCCCGCAUAAGGUCA